rnacentral:rRNA from 1 species
AUUCCAGCUCCAAUAGCGUAUAUUAAAGUUGUUGCGGUUAAAAAGCUCGUAGUUGGAUUUCUGCUGAGGACGACCGGUCCGCCCUCUGGGUGAGUAUCUGGCUUGGCCUUGGCAUCUUCUUGGAGAACGUAGCUGCACUUGACUGUGUGGUGCGGUAUCCAGGACUUUUACUUUGAGGAAAUUAGAGUGUUUCAAGCAGGCACACGCCUUGAAUACAUUAGCAUGGAAUAAUAAGAUAGGACCUUGGUUCUAUUUUGUUGGUUUGCAUACCAAAUUAAUGAUCAACAGGAGCAGUUUGAGGAUAUUCGUAUGAACAUGUCAGAGGUGAAAUUCUUGGAUUUUGAUCAGACGAACUACUGCGAAAGCAUUUAUCAAGGAUGUUUUCAUUG